AAGAACUGCGCAUGUGCACCGACAUGCGUAUUUAGUUACGGUGGACUUGGGGUGGAUGGCUGUCAUGGUUGUCCAACUAAAUCCACAUUUCGAAUUUCGACUCCUGAAGGAAUAUUCUAGAUCUGGCCAGAAGGAGCCAGAAAGAAAGGUGCAUUCAACCUUAAGCAAUAAACCAGAUAAUCAGCAGAUGAUUGAAGAAACGCCACCCUAUGAGAGGAGGUGUGGAAAAAAUUGCAAGAGCGACCCAGGGUUUAAUGUACAAGAGAGUGAACCAGAAAAACACCGACAUUAUGAAGAGAUUGUAUCAGAAGCUGGGACACUUGACACUUGGUGUACAGCACAGUGGAAUAAGGAACUACCGACAAAAACAAGAUACUGAAGAUAUUGUAUCACAAGCUGGGACACUUGAUGUCUUAAUGGGACAUUUAAAGAACGUUUUGGAGUCAUAUAUUAUGAAAUUAGGUAUACCUUUCAGAAGGUAUAAUGUUACUUUGCCAAUUUUUUGUUCAUUUCUUAAAGAUGAAAAAAAUAUGUCUAUAGCAGAAGAUUUGAUGUUGAUGAUACAGACUGAGUCACUAACUGUUGAUAAACCCGUUGAAUGUAUGCAGUCAUAUAUUCAAGUAUGGCCUGCAAAGAAAAAAAUGCGUUGUUUUCGAUCCUUGGCUGUCCACAAAGGGCACAGAGAGGUUCUUUAACACCAACCCACUGGCAGGGGAAGGGCAUCUGCCUCUUGAUAUAAAAACACUGAGUACAUUUCUGGCUAAAAUGAAGCAAGUCUGUUUAGUAUUUGACGAAAAUGAUAAAAAUAUUGCUAGAAUUCGUGAAUAUCUUGAAAGUGUUUUAGGUAGCACUGUGAUAGACAUCUAUCAUUCAUUUGAUGCUGGUAAAACAGAAAUUGAAAAUAUUGAAAAGUGUAUUUCGACAUCAGAAUAUUUUAUAUUUAUACCGACAAGAGGUGAGACGUCAUGCAUUUUAAAAUAUGCAUUAAACUUAAUUGUGUCGGAAUUGUUUCAUUCUUCAGGUCAGAACAAUAUCCUAACUUUAACAGAUUCAACACAAAAUACUUGCAGUAUACCGCCGCUCUUGUGGCCAUUUCCAAUAUUCAUUUGCAAUUUUGACCACAAUUGGUGUAGGUGUAUUUGGCCAGUUGUUAAUGAAACUGAUCCAGUGAUAAAUACAAAUGUUAAAAUGUCCAAUUUUACAAACAGAAUUAGUUGUAUAUUCAAGACAUUGAAGUCUGUUCGCAUAAUUUCAGACGAUAUUGAAGAAGGGGAAUUGAUAAAAACAUCCAUUAUAUUACAAUCUCCCACUACCAAGGUCACAGUCAAUGACGACGAUGUACCUUGCGGGGCGUUACUGUUUUAUGAAUAUGCGGCGAAAUUAUGUGAAGAUCAAUUGUUUGUUAUCGUCCCAUCUCGCGAGAGGUCGUGCGAGUCAGAAUAUGCCUUACGAGUUAUUUUUAGCAGGCUUAACAAAGAACUCGACACCUUACGAAUACAAUGCGCAGAAACCAUUACGGCUAUUGACUGUUGUACUCAGUCGUACACUAGAUCAUUUCAUUUCAGAUAAUGUCUAUCAAACAUAUUGAUAGAUAGUAAGAUAGAUUAAAGAUAUUUAUAUGCGGUUGUCCCUUGGACACUUAUGCUGUAUAAGACAUACGAAAA
rnacentral:misc_RNA from 1 species